UUUAGGGCUAGCCUCGAGGUAAAGAGUCAUGGAGGUAGAGCACUGUUUGGACUAGGGGCCCUUCUCGGGUUACCGAAUUCAGAUAAACUCCGAAUGCCAUGUACUUAUACUCGGGAGUCAGACUGCGAGUGAUAAGAUCCGUAGUCGAAAGGGAAACAGCCCAGACCACCAGUUAAGGUCCCCAAAUAUAUGUUAAGUGGAAAAGGAUGUGGGGUUGCUUAGACAACCAGGAUGUUGGCUUAGAAGCAGCCACCAUUGAAAGAGUGCGUAAUAGCUCACUGGUCGAGUGACCCCGCGCCGAAAAUGUACCGGGGCUAAACAUAUUACCGAAACUGUGGAUGAACCUCUUUAGAGGUUCGUGGUAGGAGAGCGUUCUAAGGGCGGUGAAGUCAGACCGGAAGGACUGGUGGAGCGCUUAGAAGUGAGAAUGCCGGUAUGAGUAGCGAAAGAAGGGUGAGAAUCCCUUCCACCGAAUAUCUAAGGUUUCCUGAGGAAGGCUCGUCCGCUCAGGGUUAGUCGGGACCUAAGCCGAGGCCGAUAGGCGUAGGCGAUGGACAACAGGUAGAGAUUCCUGUACCAGUGCUAAUUGUUUAACCGAUGGGGUGACACAGAAGGAUAGGGAAUCGCACGAAUGGAAAUGUGCGUCCAAGCAGUGAGUGUGAGAAGUAGGCAAAUCCGCUUCUCGCGAAGCAUGAGCUGUGAUGGGGAAGGAAAUUAAGUACGGAAGUUCCUGAUUUCACGCUGUCAAGAAAAGCCUCUAGGAAGAGUAGUACUGCCCGUACCGCAAACCGACACAGGUAGAUGAGGAGAGAAUCCUAAGGUGAGCGAGAGAACUCUCGUUAAGGAACUCGGCAAAAUGACCCCGUAACUUCGGGAGAAGGGGUGCUCUAUUAGGGUGCAAGCCCGAGAGAGCCGCAGUGAAUAGGCCCAGGCGACUGUUUAGCAAAAACACAGGUCUCUGCAAAACCGUAAGGUGACGUAUAGGGGCUGACGCCUGCCCGGUGCUGGAAGGUUAAGAGGAGUGCUUAGCUUCGGCGAAGGUACGAAUUGAAGCCCCAGUAAACGGCGGCCGUAACUAUAACGGUCCUAAGGUAGCGAAAUUCCUUGUCGGGUAAGUUCCGACCCGCACGAAAGGCGCAACGAUCUGGGCACUGUCUCAACGAGAGACUCGGUGAAAUUAUAGUACCUGUGAAGAUGCAGGUUACCCGCGACAGGACGGAAAGACCCCGUGGAGCUUUACUGCAACCUGAUAUGGAAUGUUUGUACCGCUUGUACAGGAUAGGUAGGAGCCGAAGAGACGUGUGCGCUAGCAUACGAGGAGGCAAUGGUGGGAUACUACCCUGGCUGUAUGACCAUUCUAACCCGCCACGCUUAGCGCGUGGGGAGACAGUGUCAGGUGGGCAGUUUGACUGGGGCGGUCGCCUCCUAAAGAGUAACGGAGGCGCCCAAAGGUUCCCUCAGAAUGGAUGGAAAUCAUUCGCAGAGUGUAAAGGCACAAGGGAGCUUGACUGCGAGACUGACAAGUCGAGCAGGGACGAAAGUCGGGCUUAGUGAUCCGGUGGUUCCGCAUGGAAGGGCCAUCGCUCAACGGAUAAAAGCUACCCCGGGGAUAACAGGCUUAUCUCCCCCAAGAGUCCACAUCGACGGGGAGGUUUGGCACCUCGAUGUCGGCUCGUCGCAUCCUGGGGCUGUAGUCGGUCCCAAGGGUUGGGCUGUUCGCCCAUUAAAGCGGCACGCGAGCUGGGUUCAGAACGUCGUGAGACAGUUCGGUCCCUAUCCGUCGCGGGCGCAGGAAAUUUGAGAGGAGCUGUCCUUAGUACGAGAGGACCGGGAUGGACACACCGCUGGUGUACCAGUUGUUCCGCCAGGAGCAUCGCUGGGUAGCUAUGUGUGGCAGGGAUAAACGCUGAAAGCAUCUAAGCGUGAAGCCCCCCUCAAGAUGAGAUUUCCCAUUUCUUCGGAAAGUAAGAUCCCUGAAAGAUGAUCAGGUAGAUAGGUU
rnacentral:rRNA from 1 species